UGGGGAAUCUUGGACAAUGGGGGCAACCCUGAUCCAGCCAUGCCGCGUGAGUGAUGAAGGCCUUAGGGUCGUAAAGCUCUUUCGCCUGUGAAGAUAAUGACGGUAGCAGGUAAAGAAACCCCGGCUAACUCCGUGCCAGCAGCCGCGGUAAUACGGAGGGGGUUAGCGUUGUUCGGAAUUACUGGGCGUAAAGCGCACGUAGGCGGACCAGAAAGUUGGGGGUGAAAUCCCGGGGGCUCAACCCCGGAACUGCCUCCAAAACUAUUGGUCUAGAGUUCGAGAGAGGUGAGUGGAAUUCCAAGUGUAGAGGUGAAAUUCGUAGAUAUUUGGAGGAACACCAGUGGCGAAGGCGGCUCACUGGCUCGAUACUGACGCUGAGGUGCGAAAGUGUGGGGAGCAAACAGGAUUAGAUACCCUGGUAGUCCACAUCCGUAAAACGAUGAAUGCCAGUCGUCGGGUAGCAUG
rnacentral:rRNA from 1 species